GACCUGGUGGUGAAAUGAAUCACACCUGUUUGCCUUAUCGUAUUGGUGGUUAUUGUAUUUACGGGAGGUCCCCGGUUCGAAUCCGGGCCAGGUCA